AUUGAACGCUGGCGGCAUGCUCUACACAUGCAAGUCGAACGGUAACAGGCCGCAAGGUUCUGACGAGUGGCGAACGGGUGAGUAAUGCAUCGGAACGUGCCCAGUCGUGGGGUAUAACUACUCUAAAGAGUAGCUAAUACCGCAUACGAUCUAUGGAUGAAAGCGGGGGACCGUAAGGCCUCGCGCGAUUGGAGCGGCCGAUGUCGAAUUAUGUAGUUGGUGGGGUAAAGGCUCACCAAGCCAACGAUCUGUAGCUGGUCUGAGAGGAUGACCAGCCACACUGGGACUGAGACACGGUCCAGACUCCUACGGGAGGCAGCAGUGGGGAAUUUUGGGCAAUGGGCGCAAGCCUGAUCCAGCAAUGCCGCGUGCAGGAAGAAGGCCUUCGGGUUGUAAACUGCUUUUGUACGGAACGAAACGCAUCUGGUUAAUACCCGGCGCUAAUGACGGUACCGUAAGAAUAAGCACCGGCUAACUACGUG
rnacentral:rRNA from 1 species